rnacentral:lncRNA from 1 species
AGAAAUGCUAGGGACACACUCUCUAACACACCCCUUUAACACACACCAAUAAUAAAUUGCCACGUCAUCCAAUUUCCUUAUUGAUUUACCUGACAACCGGCUGCAUAAGUUAAGAAACAACGUUAUUAUUUUUUUCAAAAGUCAUCCAAUAAUCUUAAUUGUGAAAAGAAAAAAAAAAAACAUCGUCACUAUCCUUUGUUCCUUCAACCACCCUUCCACUAAUUUAAUUCCUGCAAGUAUUUCCAAUUACGUUUUUCUUCCCGUUGAAAUCGAAAUCUAAAACAAACUCACUAGAAAUUACCAAACUCAAAUUGUUAUAGAAAUGGAACCCUUAUGCUUUUUCAAACUCAAAUUCUCUGUUUUUUUUUUUUUUUUGCAAAGGUUCCAAAAAAGUGAAGGUACAGUCAUGGUGAAAAGUGGAAACGCAUGGAAGAAUGAAGAUGGACGGUUUUUUUCAAAACUGAAGAUGGAGAGUUAAAGUCCAAAUAAAAAAAAUAAAUACUCUUUCAAAAUCAAACCGGUAGCAAGUUACCAAAUUAAAAAUAGUGGAUGACAUGUCAAGUUAUAAUUGGUGUGUGUUAAAAGGGUGUGUUAGAGAGUGUGUCCCUAGCAUUUCUC